AAAUGUUACAGACGGACCGACGACGUUAUCAAAAGGUGCAGAUGAUGCCUUCAAUGACAGUAUUAUUGCUGAAACAGGCUUCAAAAAUGAACUACCAAUGAGAGAUUCAGCUAAUCUCACUAGAGAUGAUUUUAAUGCUUCUGAUUAUCAGAAUAACCUAAAUACAACAUUGACUUUGAAUCAUUCAGAGGCUGUAGAUGUUACAGAGGGAUGGAUAAACCCAGUAAUAGAACAACCAACAGAAGAUUCAGCAAUUAUUGACAGAGAUGCUUUCAAUGUUUCUCAGUCUUAUGAUUAUCCAGGGGAAAAAAUGAAACCUGAUCCAGAGCAAACUGAUAAAUUUGAAGAAAAGGUGACUGGAAAUGAUUCAAACGCUCUACAUGUUACAGACGGACAGACGACGUUAUCAAAAGGUGCAGAUGAUGCCUUCAAU